GAUGAACGCUGGCGGCGUGCCUAAUACAUGCAAGUCGAGCGAACGGACGAGAAGCUUGCUUCUCUGAUGUUAGCGGCGGACGGGUGAGUAACACGUGGAUAACCUACCUAUAAGACUGGGAUAACUUCGGGAAACCGUAGCUAAUACCGGAUAAUAUUUUGAACCGCAUGGUUCAAAAGUGAAAGACGGUCUUGCUGUCACUUAUAGAUGGAUCCGCGCUGCAUUAGCUAGUUGGUAAGGUAACGGCUUACCAAGGCAACGAUGCAUAGCCGACCUGAGAGGGUGGUCGGCCACACUGGAACUGAGACACGGUCCAGACUCCUACGGGAGGCAGCAGUAGGGAAUCUUCCGCAAUGGGCGAAAGCCUGACGGAGCAACGCCGCGUGAGUGAUGAAGGUCUUCGGAUCGUAAAACUCUGUUAUUAGGGAAGAACAUAUGUGUAAGUAACUGUGCACAUCUUGACGGUACCUAAUCAGAAAGCCACGGCUAACUACGUG
rnacentral:rRNA from 1 species